rnacentral:tRNA from 1 species
AGCUUGAAUAAGCACAUACUUUGAAAGUAUGAGAUAGAAUAAUUUCUAUUAAUUU